rnacentral:rRNA from 1 species
GACGAACCGUGCGAACGUUGUUCGGAAUCACUGGGCUUAAAGGGCGCGUAGGCGGCUCCGCCAGUCGGGGGUGAAAUCCCACGGCCUAACCGUGGAAGGGCCUCCGAUACUGCGGGGCUGGAGGGAGGUAGGGGCAGCGGGAACUUCGGGUGGAGCGGUGAAAUGCGUUGAUAUCCGAAGGAACGCCGGUGGCGAAAGCGCGCUGCUGGACCUCUGCUGACGCUGAGGCGCGAAAGCCAGGGGAGCAAACGGG